CUAGGCAAAAUGGUGCCGUAACUUCGGGAGAAGGCACGCUGACACGUAGGUGAAGUGAUUUACUCAUGGAGCUGAAGUCAGUCGAAGAUACCAGCUGGCUGCAACUGUUUAUUAAAAACACAGCACUGUGCAAACACGAAAGUGGACGUAUACGGUGUGACGCCUGCCCGGUGCCGGAAGGUUAAUUGAUGGGGUCAGCGCAAGCGAAGCUCCUGAUCGAAGCCCCGGUAAACGGCGGCCGUAACUAUAACGGUCCUAAGGUAGCGAAAUUCCUUGUCGGGUAAGUUCCGACCUGCACGAAUGGCGUAAUGAUGGCCAGGCUGUCUCCACCCGAGACUCAGUGAAAUUGAACUCGCUGUGAAGAUGCAGUGUACCCGCGGCAAGACGGAAAGACCCCGUGAACCUUUACUAUAGCUUGACACUGAACAUUGAGCCUUGAUGUGUAGGAUAGGUGGGAGGCUUUGAAGUGUGGACGCCAGUCUGCAUGGAGCCGACCUUGAAAUACCACCCUUUAAUGUUUGAUGUUCUAACGUGGACCCGUAAUCCGGGUUGCGGACAGUGUCUGGUGGGUAGUUUGACUGGGGCGGUCUCCUCCUAAAGAGUAACGGAGGAGCACGAAGGUUGGCUAAUCCUGGUCGGACAUCAGGAGGUUAGUGCAAUGGCAUAAGCCAGCUUGACUGCGAGCGUGACGGCGCGAGCAGGUGCGAAAGCAGGUCAUAGUGAUCCGGUGGUUCUGAAUGGAAGGGCCAUCGCUCAACGGAUAAAAGGUACUCCGGGGAUAACAGGCUGAUACCGCCCAAGAGUUCAUAUCGACGGCGGUGUUUGGCACCUCGAUGUCGGCUCAUCACAUCCUGGGGCUGAAGUAGGUCCCAAGGGUAUGGCUGUUCGCCAUUUAAAGUGGUACGCGAGCUGGGUUUAGAACGUCGUGAGACAGUUCGGUCCCUAUCUGCCGUGGGCGCUGGAGAACUGAGGGGGGCUGCUCCUAGUACGAGAGGACCGGAGUGGACGCAUCACUGGUGUUCGGGUUGUCAUGCCAAUGGCACUGCCCGGUAGCUAAAUGCGGAAGAGAUAAGUGCUGAAAGCAUCUAAGCACGAAACUUGCCCCGAGAUGAGUUCUCCCUGAGACUUAGAGUCUCCUGAAGGAACGUUGAAGACGACGACGUUGAUAGGCCGGGUGUGUAAGCGCAGCGAUGCGUUGAGCUAACCGGUACUAAUGAACCGUGAGGCUUAACCUUACAACGCCAAAG
rnacentral:rRNA from 1 species